AACAACAAGCUCAGUUGGUAGAGCAACAGACUCUAAAUCUCAGGGCGGUGGGUUCAAGCCGCAUGUUGGAUG